rnacentral:rRNA from 1 species
AUGACUUAUGAUUCCUCCACUUUGACAUCCGUUCGACCUGUCGAGUCUCAUGUUCGUGUUCAUACUGCUGAUGGUACUCCCCUCCCUGUCGCUAGUCGAGGCACUCUUAGCACAUCUUAUUUUCUUGUUCCCUCUGUUGCUCAUGUUCCUCGACUUAGCAUGCAACUCUUUUUAGGUAGUCAGAUUGUUGACUCUAAUUGUAGGGUCAAUCUCGACUUUGAUUCAUGUUUUGUUCAGGAUCGCCGCACAGGCGCUCUGCUUGGUGCUGGCCCUCGAUGCCAUGAUGGUCUUUGGGAGCUUGACUGGCUUCGUCUUCCCUCCGAUGCCACCGCCGCCAGUUUUGUGGCCCCUGUUGCCGCUUCUGCUAGCUCUUUUCAGCAGUGGCAUCAUCGUCUUGGCCAUUUAUAUGGUUCUCGUCUCUCGUCUUUAGUUCAUCGUGGUGUUCUGGGGUCUGUCUCCGGCAACGCUUCGUUGGAUUGUCUAGGUUGUAGGCUUGGUAAGCAGAUUCAGCUACCCUAUCCUCACAGUGAGUCGAUGUCUAAGCGUCCUUUUGAUCUCAUUCACUCAGAUGUUUGGGGUCCUACUCUCUUCGCUUCGAAAGGGGAUCAUCGCUACUAUAUUCUCUUUAUAGACGGUUUUACUCGCUACACCUGGAUCUAUUUCAUGUCUUCUCGUAGCGAGGUCUUAUCUAUAUACAAAAAUUUUGCUGCCAUGGUUCGUACCCAAUUCUCCACUCCUAUUCGUGUUUUCGCGCAGAUUCUGCUGGUGAGUAUAUUUCUCGAGCGUUGCAAGGAUUUCUUGCUGAACAGGGUACUCUUCCCCAGUUCUCUUGCCCUGGUGCUCAUGCUCAGAAUGGUGUGGCCGAGCACAAGCAUCGUCACCUUCUUAAUACGGCGCGUGCGAUGA